ensembl:lncRNA LINC01500 long intergenic non-protein coding RNA 1500
GGUAGUAGCGCUGCCUGCAAACCAGCACCAAGGCUGCAAACGAAGCCAGAAAGAUGGUGGCCAGCACACCUAUGGCAACUAUCACCACGGUCUCCAUGCUUCCGGGGAGCUCCUGACUCAGUCCCGUUCACAUCGUCCUCAUGGGCUAAGGCUGCUGGAAGUGGCAAACUGGGGGAAGAGGAUGGCAGGAGCUAGGUUCCUCCACGACACCUCCAGAGACCUGAGGGCCUCAAGCUGCAGCUCCGGGGCACAUCCCGCUGCGCUCCCACGACGGCCCCGCGGAUGGCAAAGUCAGCGAAUUGACCACAAGAGAAGACUCCCUUUCAAACUCUUCAUUCUCUGGUUCAGAGGUUUGAUGUAAUGGUUGUCUCAUCGUACAUGGUCAGCCACAGGAUAUACUUCAUCCAUUUCAGAGCUGUACUCCUGAGUUCCAUGCUAUAAUCAGAAAUAUGUGGCACAUUUUGAACAAAGGAAAUAUAUACCCAACAAAGUGUUAAAAUGGAGCUGCCAACCAGACAAACCCUAGAAAUAUGUAGCCACUUACAGGCAGAACACAACUACAUGUGUUCCCAAUGUGGAAGGCAUUCCGGAAGUGUAUGCAUCCACAUUUCUACAUGAGGCAUCGCCUAUGCAGGCAAUCAAAGGAUGUUGAUGGAUAAGUGUUUCAGGCAGAAUAAUGGCCCUCAAAGAUGUUGACACCAGAAUCUUCAGAACCUUUGCAUAUGUUACCUAACAUGACAAAAGGGACUUUGCUGAUGUGAUUAAGGUUAAGAACUUUGAGAAGGGAAGAUUAUCCUGGAUUAUACAGGUCGACGUUUAUUUCUUUCUGAACUUUCCUGGAGGAUCAUCGGCCAUACUCCAGCAGAAGGGUGGAUUUGAAAAAAUAACUCAGGUGCUGCAUAAUGAUGUUUCAGUCAACAAUGGACUGCACAUAUGACAGUGGCUUCAUAAAAUUAUAAUGGAGUUGAAAAAUUCCUGUCACUUAGUGACGUCGUAUACCUUCCAUGGGACAAGAUGUGCAGCCUGGUAAUAUCCCAGAAAGGGAUUUCUCCAUCAGCCUAGAUCCCAGAAUGAAGAUUAGGUAGAAUCAAAGAGCCAAGAGCCUCAGCCAACGAUGAAGGAAGGAAGACGUUGGAGAAUUCACAUGCUAUUUUAGCUGGCUCUGUGAUUGCAAUCACACAAAUCAUUACAUUCCAGCGAGAUCCCAUCAACAGAAGGUUUUUCCAUUUCAGUCUGUCAAGUUUUUCAGGCAUGAAUACUGUAAGCAAGAAGAGAAAAGUUACAAUAAAUUGACAUUUAUAGUUGAAGUUGACCUCUAACCUGUGAAGCUUUCUUGAACAUUCCCUCACUGAAAACUCCUUUUCAUUACUUUUCCUGUAUUGUAUCUCUACAUGCUCAUGAGCAGUUUAAAUCAUUGGCAGAUCUGGAUAGUAUCUGCUAAAAACAUGUUGGCACCUAGAUUCCACUGUUACUAACUAAACAUGAAGCUAAAAAUAAAUGAGAGAUGCUAGAG